rnacentral:rRNA from 1 species
CCUACGGGUGGCAGCAGUGAGGAAUAUUGGUCAAUGGCCGGAAGGCUGAACCAGCCAAGCCGCGUGAGGGAGGAAGGCGCAGAGAGUCGCAGACCUCUUUUGCCGGAGGACAAAAGGCCGGACUCGUACGGUCCUGAGGGUACCCGGCGAAAAAGCAUCGGCUAACUCCGUGCCAGCAGCCGCGGUAAUACGGAGGAUUCAAGCGUUAUCCGGAUUCAUUGGGUUUAAAGGGUGCGCAGGCGGGCCUUUAAGUUGGCGGUGAAAUCCCGGGGCUCAACCCCGCCGAGCCUUCGAAACUGGCGGGCUUGAGUUCAGCUGAGGCAGGCGGAAUGUACGGUGUAGCGGUGAAAUGCAUAGAGAUCGUACAGAACCCCGAUUGCGAAGGCAGCGUACCGAGCUGCGACUGACGCUGAGGCACGAAAGCGCGGGGAGCGAACAGGAUUAGAUACCCCGGUAGUC